rnacentral:rRNA from 3 species
CUUGACGACCAUAGAGCGUUGGAACCACCUGAUCCCAUCCCGAACUCAGUAGUGAAACGACGCAUCGCCGAUGGUAGUGUGGGGUUUC